UCGCGGGGCGGGUGCGCACAGGGGCAGGCACGCGGGCGGAGGGGGGGGGGCGGGCCUCCGAGGAGCCUGCCUCGGGGACAUGCCGCUUGGGGGUAUCAAAUCCUCUUAGCUAUAGAUCUGAGAAAUGGCACAGAAAAUGCCACAGCUCCCGUUUAUGGUCCUCUUCGAGGCCGAGCCCCUGAGGUUCGAGGCCUGCGGCUCUGCGGCAGUCGCUGGGUGUGCAUCUGCCUGGAUCACGCUCGAGACCGCCCUGCGGCCAGAAAGGGCCGACAGUGUCCUGAGUGCUGCCUCCCCACGUGCAGGACAGGCACACGUCAUGGACACGCAGGCCAGGCAGUGGUCGCGGCAGUGCGAAGGCCGGCACGCCUCUGCCUGCAUGUCAGUGUCGCGUGGGUGCCGUCCCGGAGUCCUCGAGAUGGAGGGCAUGGCAUGAUGACUGCCCCUCGCUCCUGCCCGUCCUGGGUGGCCUUCCCACCCUGCAGCUGCACGUGAGGAAAACUCCGUGCCCACCCAGGGUCCCCAUGUGACAUCCCAGCCAGGGCUGGGGAAGGGCAAGGAGGACGGAGCACAGAGGGCUCCAGGGCGCCAGCCUCCGCUCAUGGGCAUCACGGGCCUGUCUCAGGCUAGCAAACUGACGUUCUCAAGCAGUUAAGUGACCUGCUGGAACCUCGGAUCCUGCCACAGGAGGCCACGGGUGUGCACUUACCUGGGAACCCAGGGUCUGUGUCCUACUGUGUACGCACUCACACCUCCUCCCCACCCCUGUGCCCACACACACCUCAGUCCACUCCUGUGCCCACACACACCUCCUCCCCACCCCUGUGCCCACACACACCUCCUCCCCACCCCUGUGCCCACACACACCUCCUCCCCACCCCUGUGCCCACACAUACCUCAGUCCACUCCUGUGUGCGCACAUACCUCCUCCCCACCCCUGUGCCCACACAUGCCUCCACCCACCCCUGUGCCCACACACACCUCCUCCCAGCACACGGAGGGUCAUGGGCCCAUCCUCUGUGCGACCCCUCUAAGUGCGUCCUGCACGCACUGGGCCCACUACGGAGAGUUGCAGGACGGCAACCACCGAGUGACCCGACGCAGGGUCACAAGCUGGUCGGCCAGGCCGUACACAGGCUUGGUGCUCACCUCUCAGUGACCAGGGCAGCUGCGAGCACGAACCAUGUGCCCGUGUGCACCCAUGGGCGUGCUGGGGGUAGCCUUUUCCACCGGGGUGGCCUGACCUGUGUCGCCGUCACCCUGACAGCUGAGUGGCAUCCUGUACCCCCGAUGGCCUGUGCUCCGAGACAGCCUCAGAGACGGCACCGAGCCUUCCCUCGCAUAGCCUGCACCUUUGAAGCGGGCGCCCUGGGCAACUCUCGCUCGGCCUGCCUGGCACCUGAAAGCGUUUCUUCAGCGAGUCUCUGACUUGACCUCACCCAGGCUGAGCAGGCAGGCUGGGAGCAGGCUGGGGGUUGGUGGGGUGCUGCCCUUCUGCGGUGCGACCCUAGUGGCUUGAUAAACACGUGGGGGCUCCGUGCCCAAAGUCCUGAUGGAAUGGGGAAGUGGGGAAAGGCUUGCAGCGGGACACACCCACUGGGGGCGCUCUCCCACUGCCUCUCUGGGGAGUACACACACCCACUGGCAAAUAAAAAUAAAGCACCUAAAAAGGAAAAUAAGCAGGAAGAAAAAAACAGGAAAGAUAGGAAACCGGCCAGCCUGGCCCGCUGAGGUCUCCAGUAACUGCACUUAGCUCCCGUGGACUCUGACCAGGCCCUCUGACACACACGCUGUCCCUGAGAGCCGUCUCCGGGCCUGUGGUUCCAGGCCUCACGAGUUUCACAGACACUGCCCCGCGGCCGCCCGCAGAACUUCACCGGCCUUACUCAGCUCACCGCGACAGUGCAUCUCUGCACCCGCAGAGAACCAAGCCACUGCACACCGCCCCGCUGACAGGCUAGCAGGGCUACCACAGCGGGGCCUAGGGGAGGCUGCUUCACUAGAAAGUGGCUUUCUGCCUGCAUCUAAAGCCACCUGGAGGGGCCGAAGUGCACGUGGUCAGAACUGGCCAUGGAAGCCCUGGUCGUGCGUGGCUGGGCACUUGGUCCCACGAAGUAACUGACCUAUGCCAGGUUCGAGGCCCUCAACCGGUACCUGCCGUGGCCUGGCCAUUCCCGUGGCUCGCUGCAUUUUCAGGGUGGGUCUCGGUCCCACAAGAUGGACGUGGGAGUGGGGCAUGGCACUGUUGGGGCGGUGAGGUGAGCAGGACCAGAGCAAGGGGACGCUGCAGAGUCAGUGGGCAGAUGAGCCGCACACGGCGGCGAGGAGCGGGACUCCGCAGGGCGACAGCGCUGCUUCGGUGGGAGCGUCCUGUGGACUGCCUUGGACACUCAGCCAGGAAAGGUGGAUGUGUGAGAGAGGGGCGGCAGCCCCAGGGCCGAGCUCCCGGCAGGACUCGCGGCAGCUGGAGUGAGGCAGGACGGGAGAUGGCGUCACGUGGGACCCACUGUAUUUCCCUGAGGUUGCGGCCGGAGGCAACGGAAGGGAGGCAUGGCCCCGCCACAGCUCGGAGCAUGUCUGCAGGCCCAGCAGAAGGAUUUGUGGUCCUGCUGCUGUUGGAGCCCUGGGACUGGCGCAGGUGUCGGCGCUGCUGGGUUACAGAAGCGAGUGCAGGUGUUCUGGAAAGCAGAGGAAGGUCAGCCAAGCGCCGGGCACAGGGCAAACCCAUCGCUGUUUCUCCAGAGCCGCUGCAAGGAUGACAGUACUCUGGGGCAGCCUCACAGACCUGGCGUUGAGGCUCCCAGGGACAGCGCAGCUGAGGCUGAGAGCAGCUGGCCCCAUCAGGAGGCCCACAUCCGCCCUACCCACGGGUCCAACCCUACAGAGGCACACGCCUUGGGGCCAGGUCCCUGGGGUGGUACGCAGGCGGAGGGCGGUGCCACCUGCCUGUCUCACCCGGGCUCCCGCUGUGUCCAGGAGCCUUCUAGGCUGAGAGCGGUCAUGGCAGUGAGCCGUCCUGCGAGGAGCACACCGGGCCCCCCUCUGCCAGAGCCACGGCCACAGUGACAGCGAGCCGCCCCUGCAUGCUGGGUGGGGCGGUAAGGCCAGCGCUCCUCCCUCCGUCCCCUCUGAAAGGGCAGUGGAGUGGCAGGACACACCCACACAGGCCGGCCCCUGACUGCACCCCAGCAUCAGAGUUUGCAGAGACUAAGCGAGAGACCGAGAUGCCCACGCUCCGAGACGGGAAAUGACGUUUCGUGCCAAGGAGUGGAGAGAAGCCCUCAUCGCACGGGGACAGGACACGCACAGCUGUGAACACGUACGCCAUCAAAGAUCUAAAAGUCUCAGAAGGGAACACGCGUGCUAUGCCGACAGCCCCCAGACUUCAGGAGGAGGUGGGCCAGUGAAGACUGAGAUGGCCGUGGGCCCCCACUCCUCGCUGUCCCCUGGGGUGCCCCGUGCAGUCACCUUGCUUAAUCCUGGUGACAAGGGAGGGUCCCACGUUCAGUUCAUUUCUCACGUGCUGCUGGGAACCCUGACGCUGGUGCCAGGAGGUGUCCCUGAGGGCAGGAAGGCCAGGACCAGGGACAGGGGUGGGGAAUAGAGACCAAGGUGCCAUUGAAGGAGCCAGAAUUCGAGUGGAAGAGACUGCAGAAGGUUUUGUCCCUCAGCACUGCAGAGAACAGCACUCGGCAGAGCGCCUGAGUCCACUGAUCCCCCCACACCCGGGGCUGCAGGAUCUCAGUGCAAGAGAGAUGGGUGAACAGGCCUCACCCGAAUCCCGAACCACUGUGCUUCUGCUGAGAAAGUGCACUAAACGGGGAGAGCAAACGCCUGGGAUUACCUGCACAGUGCCCUUAGGGCUGUUACGAGCCGCUGACCGCAGCCCACCCCAGCGAGGCAGGAGGGUCAGUGGAGCCGAGCUUGAGCUCCACCGUGCUGCCCGAGAUUAAGGCGGGUCUGCUGCCCGCACGGCAGAACCCCAGCCUGCGUUGCCAGGAACAGCCAUCCCUGCGAGUCUGCACUUAGAGUUUAGUGAACUUAGAGUGGUGGUUAAGGCCUGGAUUCUCAUGUGGACCCAGAGCCUUAAAAAUCACAGCUGCAUGUGUGCGUGCAUGCCCAAAAUCCCGAGAAGGGAUCCGACUCUCCAGUGAGCAGACGUGCCCUGUGGAAAAGACCUAAAAGACGAAAAUAAGGAGUUCGCCGGGUUUGUGUGUGCGUGUGACUUCUCAAAAGAUGACAUGGGAUCUGUUUCCUUCUGUCUUCAUGAAAAUAAGUGAAGAGUUUCCCUCUUUCUCUGCUGAAAUUUUUAACACGUGGGAAUUAUCUGUUCCUUGAGGGUUUGAGUAAGUGACCCAGCAGCGCCCACGCUGAGCACUUGCUCUCGGGGUUCCUCCGACUCGGUCGUUCGUGUGCCCCACCCCUGUUCUAGGCCCAGGCCUGCGCCGG